UAGAUUAGCAGUGAUCCAGUAUUUUUCUUGCACGAGUGCUAUAGUCAAUUUGCUGAUAGAAUUUAGGUAGCCUUGUUCUCAAAUUUGCCUUGUUAAAAUCUCCAGCUACAAUAAAUGCAGCCUCAGGAUAUAUGGUUUGCAUAAAGUCCAGUGAAAUUCCUUGAGGGCCGUCCUGGUAUCGGCUUGGGGGGGGAUAUACACGGCUGUGACAAUAGGAGGAUUCUCUUGGGAGAUAAUACGGUCGGCAUUUGAUUGAAGAAUUCUAGGUCAGGUGAACAAAAGGACUUGAGUUCCUGUAUGUUAUUACAAUUACACCAUGAGUCGUUAAUCAUGAAACACACACCCUGCCAUUUCUUCUUCCAGAAGAUAUGUUUAUUCCUGUCGGCGCGACACACAAAGAAUCCAGAUGGCUAUAUCCCGAGAGAGCCAUGUUUCCGUGAAACAGAGUAUGUUACAAUCCCUGAUGUCUCUGGAAAGCAACCCUUGGCCUAUUUUUGUCUCCCUUGUUAUCUAGACUGGACAUUAGCAAGUAAUAUACUCGGCAGCGGUGGGUAUUGUGCAAGCCAACAAAGUCUGACCAGAAGACCACUCCGUCCGCCUCUUCUUCGGCGACGUUUUGGGUCAGCCUCUGGAAUCAGUUCAAAUGCCCUAGGUGGUUCAGACAAAGGAUCCGCUUGAGGCCUACGAGAUGGGGGGUGAAUGACCAGCUGAUCAUACUUCAGGCACAUGGCUCACCUGAGAAUCUCCUCCUUGUCUUUGAACCUGAGCAGUUUCACCACUAUAGAUCUGGGCUGUCCAUCGGGGAUGAAAGUGCCAUUCAUAUGCAUCCUCCAUCUCGAUGCGUUUAGGAUCCAGUUUAAGUUCAUCUGCCAGGAGUUUCUUGGCCUUGACAGUCAGUAGGUCUAGGCAAAUUUGAUUGGCACAGGAAGAAAGGAAAAGGGUCUGCUACUCAUGCGAUGUGCUUCAAUGUAAGCUUAAAAUCUAUUUAAAUGAUCUUUCUGGUGGUUCUUAAAUGUUAUAUUGUGCCUAAAGUUAUAAGUUGGGAGCUGUGUGUUUGUGUGUGUUAACUGAGUAAAAGUUUAAUGCAGUGUUUUCCCUUACUGCCACAAUGACUUGCAGAUCAUUAUACAUGUAUAUUCCUUCCUCCUAUUCCUCCAGCAAAAUCACAGGUAGGCUUUUGCAAAUCAGAAAUUCUAUGCAGUACUCUAUUAUACACUGAACAGUGUGAAAUUAAAUUCAGUUUGUUGUAUUGAGUAGAACGUGAAUUUCAGUGACAGGUUUUUGCGAAGCACAUGCACAGAACAUUUAGAAAAUGUGACGGGGCGAACAGAACUCUAGGCUACUCAGAAUUUUUAACCCUGUGGUAUUGUGACAUCACUAGGUUACACCUGUUGUUUACGAAGCACAUGACAAAUAUAAUUUUAUUUAUUGGCCAAAGAAGUUCUUACCUAAUCUGGUUUCCUGAAGUGUUUGAUCUGGCAGGGCUCUGCAAGAGACCAUAUUCUCUACCACUGCAAUACAAGACACCUGUUAAGUCACUGCCCACUUUCACUAGGGCCAAGACUAGUCAUUGUGCAUUGUCAUUAUGAAAAUUGUUUCCUCUUUUCCUCCAUCCCUAAUUAACCUUAAGAAAUACUUACUGUGCAGUGCUCUUUGCAACGGCAGCAAUGUAAAUACAAUGUAAAUGCCGUUCGAAAUACAACUGUGAGGUCUGUGCAGUAGCAGUAUCAUGGAGUUUGCUGUUUCCAGUUGUCCUAUAAAAGAAUCACCAAUGCACAUGUAUUUGCAACCACAGCCAUUAUGCUGGAUCAGCUAAAUAGGUGGAGUUGAAGGGAUGAGAAACUCAAUAACCACGUUGGUAGGGGAAU